rnacentral:rRNA from 1 species
AACGCGAAGAACCUUACCCAGACUUGACAUACAGUGGAAGUUAGCAGAAAUGUUAACGCCCUUCGGGGCCGCUGAACAGGUGCUGCAUGGCUGUCGUCAGCUCGUGCCGUGAGGUGUUGGGUUAAGUCCCGCAACGAGCGCAACCCUUAUCGUUAGUUGCCAACAGGUAAUGCUGGGAACUCUAGCGAGACUGCCUGGGUUAACCAGGAGGAAGGUGAGGAUGACGUCAAGUCCGCAUGGCCCUUAUGUCUGGGGCUACACACGUUCUACAAUGGUCGGUACAGAAGGCAGCGAAACCGCGAGGCGAAGCAAAUCCCUAAAACCGGCCCCAGUUCAGAUUGUAGUCUGCAACUCGACUACAUGAAGAUGGAAUUGCUAGUAAUGGCGAGUCAGCAACAUCGCCGUGAAUACGUUCCCGGGCCUUGUA